rnacentral:rRNA from 1 species
UACGGAGGGGGCUAGCGUUGUUCGGAAUUACUGGGCGUAAAGCGCACGUAGGCGGACCAGAAAGUUGGGGGUGAAAUCCCGGGGCUCAACCUCGGAACUGCCUUCAAAACUAUUGGUCUUGAGUUCGAGAGAGGUGAGUGGGAUUCCGAGUGUAGAGGUGAAAUUCGUAGAUAUUCGGAGGAACACCAGUGGCGAAGGCGGCUCACUGGCUCGAUACUGACGCUGAGGUGCGAAAGCGUGGGGAGCAAACAGG